CCCCAGAGCCCCAGCACUGGGUGGGGGUGCAUGUCGGCCGGAUCGCAGUCCCCAGAACCCCCAAAUGGAGGCCAAGGCUGGAGGGUGAUAGGAAGAGGAUCGGCCAGGCGUGGAGGGGGCCCCUGGCGCCGCACGCGGGUUGUUACCUUCUGUGACCCCCACAACCUGCUCCCAGAUGGGUAUUGGUAAGUGCCUCUGAUUUUUGUUUCCACAAACAGAGAUACUGAGGCCAGUGCCGAAUGGGAGGUGAAUACAUUUUUUUUUUAAUGCCUUGCGGGUGGUGGGGGGGGGGGGAUGUCAAGUCUAUGGUUUAAAUAGAGUUAAAAACUCUCAAAGAAAAAAACAGCUCUGUUCUGUUCUGCUUCCCACAUCAGAGCAAUCUCCGCCCCCAGUCCAACUCACUUCCCUGGGGCCACAUCAAGCCAGGUUUUUCCACCAGCCAAAAGACCUCAUCAGCCAAACAGUGCUGGAUCUCCCAGACUGGCAACAACCUCUGUUUAUCCACCCCUUUCUUCACUCCCCCUCUGGGCUGGAGGGUUGGUCACUUUUUUCUUUCCCAGGACCCUGCUGUCCUCUUCCUGCUCUGCAGAGAGGAUAUCGUUCCCAGGAAGCCUGGGGGACACCCAGUGCCUUCUUUUAGCUCCUUCAUGCGUGCUUUGAGAGGUUCACUCACCUUUACAAGAAUGGGUGUGUGAUCAAGCCCAGAACCCUGGGGGAAGAGGGGCAGUCACAUCAUCUGUUCUCCCUGCCCCAACCCAUAGCUGAACUCCCACAAAGCUGGAGAGGAAGUUUUUCAUUCCCAUGCACACCCCUCACAACCUUUUAAGUUCACAGCUAUCUAUCUAGAAAGCCACAUUCUUAGUUAGGAGCCCAACACCUUAAAGAUCAAUUCUUCAUCUGGUCUCCACACCCCUAAGCACAGUGUUCCUCAGGAAAGUGGGGGAGGGGAGGCAUGUCUGUGAAGGAAUAUGGCUUCAAUAAGUUACUUCCUAUACAAUGACAGCAAUGGGAGUAAAUACACAAGAUCUUUUUUAUUAAUUAAUAAAACAAAAAAGAUGAAAAACAGAAGCAACAAAUGAAGACCAUACUGCUCAUGAUACAUCAGCCACAUGGUCAGAAAACCAAUUUCUAAAGAGCAACAGCUGCUGGUGUCACGGAGUUUUAUUGCAUUCAACAGGGGAAAGGUAGACGGUUGGAAAGAGAGAUCAUCAGGCCCCUGACGGCUCUAAUCUUUAGCCGUGGACUCCUCUUGUUACUUCCUCUGGAGCAGAAGAUGGAGGAGAGAAAGGAAGUCUCUUUUAUGACUGCAUGACUUCUUGUGAGAUCAGUCCAGCUAGAUACAGAGCAAAGAAUCUUUGCAUCCCCACAGGCCAGUCGCUGGUGCCCAUCUUUAUGUUAU